rnacentral:snRNA from 1 species
AUAUAUGCGCUUGGGGCAAUGACGCAGUUAGUUAAGUGAAACCGCGACGCGUCAAUUGCUGGUUGAAAACUAUUUCCAAACUAUUUUUUAUACCCAAACGGCCUAGAGUACAUUACUAACAAUAUGGGAGGGUA